rnacentral:rRNA from 1 species
AGCAGUCGCCGCGGUAAUACGUAAGUCCCGAGCGUUGUCCGGAUUUAUUGGGCGUAAAGCGAGCGCAGGCGGUUAGAUAAGUCUGAAGUUAAAGGCUGUGGCUUAACCAUAGUACGCUUUGGAAACUGUUUAACUUGAGUGCAAGAGGGGAGAGUGGGAUUCCAUGUGUAGCGGUGAAAUGCGUAGAUAUAUGGAGGAACACCGGUGGCGAAAGCGGCUCUCUGGCUUGUAACUGACGCUGAGGCUCGAAAGCGUGGGGAGCAAACAGGAUUAGAUACCCGGGUAGUCCCUGUCUCUUAUACA